rnacentral:rRNA from 1 species
GAGUAAAAUUAAAUUUCACGAAAUAAUUUGAGCUAACUACUUGAAGAUGUUAGUCGAACUUAAUAGUGUGUUGCAAAAUACUAUUCUAACAGGUAGUUAGGGGUGAUAGGCCAAGCAAAAAUUAUGAUAUCUUGAUUCUGGGGAAAUUCAUUUAGUGAUCAAGCGAGUUUAAAGUGAUAAGGCUUUAACCUAAAAUUAAACCUUAAAACAUAAUACUCAUAGCUUUAACCGGCAGUAUGUAGUGUUAACUACCAUUAAAAUAUUUAGGUUAUUUAUAGUACCUAUUAUAAAAUUGUUGACUUAAUUUAUAAUGUUAAUAUUAGUAAGUAAAUAGAUUAGUAGAAUGAACUCGGCAAAUUUACCUUUCGACUGUUUACCAAAAACAUAACUACAUGAACACCUAUGCAGCAUUUUCUGCUCAAUGAGUAUUAAAUAGCCGCAGUACUCUGACUGUGCAAAGGUAGCAUAAUCAGUUGGCUUAUAAUUGAAGUCUAGAAUCAACGAACGCACGGAAGGUUACUGUCUCUUAUUAAAAUACUGAAAUUAUUUAGUAAGUGAAAAUACUUACUUUUAAAUAAAAGACGAGAAGACCCUAGAAAUUUAAAUUGCAUUUUGUUGGGGCGACAUAGUAGCAUUGAACCUACAAUAUAUACAGGAAUUUAAUUAGACGUAAGGUUAAUUACUCUAGGGAUAACAGCAUAAUUUAAAAAAGUUUGUGACCUCGAUGUUGGACUAGGAAACUUAAGUUUAGACGACGUAAGUAUUGCUCUGUUCGAGC